rnacentral:rRNA from 1 species
CAGUUAACACAAUAAGUAUCCCACCUGGGGAGUACGAUCGCAAGGUUGAAACUCAAAGGAAUUGACGGGGGCCCGCACAAGCGGUGGAGUAUGUGGUUUAAUUCGAAGCAACGCGAAGAACCUUACCAGGGCUUGACAUCCCGGUGGCCGCUCUAGAGAUAGAGUUUCCCUUCGGGGCACCGGUGACAGGUGGUGCAUGGUUGUCGUCAGCUCGUGUCGUGAGAUGUUGGGUUAAGUCCCGCAACGAGCGCAACCCUUAUUGUUAGUUGCUACGCAAGAGCACUCUAGCGAGACUGCCGUUGACAAAACGGAGGAAGGUGGGGACGACGUCAAAUCAUCAUGCCCCCUUAUGUCCUGGGCCACACACGUACUACAAUGGUGGUCAACAGAGGGAGGCAAUGCCGCGAGGCGGAGCAAAUCCCCUAAAAGCCAUCCCAGUUCGGAUUGCAGGCUGAAACCCCGCCUGUAUGAAGUUGGAAUCGCUAGUAAUCGCGGAUCAGCAUGCCGCGGUGAAUACGUUCCCGGGCCUUGUACACACCGCCGUACG